ACGCUGGCGGCGUGCCUAACACAUGCAAGUCGAACGGAGUGUUUAUUUAUAAACACUUAGUGGCGAACGGGUGAGUAACGCGUAGACAACCUACCCUCUAGAUGGGGACAACACCGCGAAAGUGGUGCUAAUACCGAAUGUUGUAAUGUUAUUGCAUAACGAUAUUACUAAAGGUGGCCUCUAUAUAAAAGCUACCGCUAGAAGAUGGGUCUGCGUCUGAUUAGCUAGUUGGUGAGAUAACAGCUCACCAAGGCAAUGAUCAGUAGCCGGUCUGAGAGGAUGAACGGCCACACUGGGACUGAGACACGGCCCAGACUCCUACGGGAGGCAGCAGUGGGGAAUCUUCCGCAAUGGACGAAAGUCUGACGGAGCAACGCCGCGUGAGUGAAGAAGGUUUUCGGAUCGUAAAGCUCUGUCUUCAAGGACGAAUGUAGAUAUUGUGAAUAAUGAUAUUUAAUGACGGUACUUGAGGAGGAAGCCACGGCUAACUACGUG
rnacentral:rRNA from 1 species